UACGUAGGGGGCAAGCGUUGUCCGGAUUUAUUGGGCGUAAAGAGCGUGUAGGCGGCCAGGUAGGUCUGCUGUGAAAACUCGAGGCUUAACCUCGAGCUGUCGGCGGAAGCCAUCUGGCUAGAGUCCAGAAGAGGAGAAUGGAAUUCCCGGUGUAGCGGUGAAAUGCGCAGAUAUCGGGAAGAACACCGGUGGCGAAGGCGGCAUCCUGGACCGGCAUUGACGCUGAGGCGCGAAAGCUAGGGGAGCAAACGGG
rnacentral:rRNA from 1 species